UAUUAUUAUUAUUAUUAUUAUUGUUUUCUUAUUUUCUUCUUGCCAUUUUCUCUCGGUAGAGGCAAAGAACCUUCUAAUAACCUUGUUAUUUAAAGAUGUUAAAUUUAAUCAAGCGAUCUUGCAAAGAUGGAAUUGCAGAUUGGAGCAGAAAAAUAUAUACUUCUCACGAACCACAGAAUACCUUAAAAUUCAUGAAAAAAAUGCUACUUUUCUAGCUAAUCGAUAAGCAAUGUCCAUGAAAUGGUUGCGGGAGCAAUUAAAAUAAAUGACGAAAAUUUAAUCCCUAUAAUAUUUUGCUACUGAU
rnacentral:lncRNA from 1 species